UAAAUGAUUGCUUAAAAAUAUUUUAUAUAUAACGUUAAAAUUUAGAGGUGUCUAUGGCAAAGUUUUAUUUUAGCUUUUUGAUUUAAUUUAUGAAGAUAUUUUAUAUGAGGUUUAGGCUAAAUGAUUAUAAUGUAGUGAUUAGGUUUAAUUGAUUAAAGAAAUUUAGAAUUAGGUAUUUAUAAUAGUAUGGACUAAUCUUGUGCCAGCAGUUGCGGUUAGACAAGAUAUGCAAUUGAAUUUAUUUUGGUUGGUAAUAAAUUGAUUAUGUUUAAAUUUUAUAUUUGGUUAAUAAGGUGGAAUUUUUUAUUAAAUUGGUUUUUUUUUAAUUUUUGAUUUACUAAAUUCUUUAUUUUAAACUAGGAUUAGAUACCCUAUUAUUUGGAACUUAAAUAUAAACGCUAGAGUAGUAUUAGGUUAGUUCUUGAAAUUUAAAAGAUUUGGCGGUGUUUUAGUCUAUUCAGAGGAAUCUGCCCUGUAAUCGAUAAUCCACGAUUGAUUUUACUUAUUUUUUGAGCUUGUAUACCGUCGUUAUUAGAAUAUUUUAAAAGAAGUAAAUAUUCAGGAUUUAUAAUUAUAAAUUAAAUCAGAUCAAGGUGCAGUUGAUAAAUAAGGAGAGGUGGGUUACAAUAAAUUUAUUUUAAUGGAUGAGAAAUUUAAAUAUUGGUUUGAAAUUGGAUUUGAAAGUAAUUUUUAUAACUUUAUGGAAAUGAUUUAAGCUCUAAAAUAUGCACAUAUCGCCCGUCGCUCCAACUUUAAAGUUGGAUAAGUCGUAACAAAGUAGGCUUAUCGGAAGAUGAGCCUAGAAUUAC
rnacentral:ncRNA from 1 species